GCAUCUGAAUCUUUCCCGCUCCUUGCUGCACAGUGCAGGUUCGGGGACAUGUGAUGCGAAAGCAAUGCAGAGUAAAUCCAGGCAGGUUGCUCUUCUCUUGCAGCGAGACUUGUCUCUACAACUCUGCAACAUUU